rnacentral:tRNA from 1 species
GUUGGUCCAGUUAGGUUAGAGCGCCCACCUGAGACGUGGGAGGUCACCGGUUCGAAUCCGGUUA